rnacentral:rRNA from 1 species
GAUGAACGCUAGCGGCAGGCCUAAUACAUGCAAGUCGUACGGCAACACAGUUGCGAGCAAUCGCAACCGGUGGCGAGUGGCGCACAGGUGAGUAACGCGUAUGUAACCUACCCUUCUCCGGGACAUAAACUCCGCGAAAGCGGUGCUAAUAUCCCAUACCAACUCAUCAAGACAUCUUCUUGAGUUGAAAGCAGCAAUGCGGUGAAGGAUGGGCAUGCGUCCCAUUAGCUGGUUGGUGAGGUAAUGGCCCACCAAGGCUACGAUGGGUAGGGGUUCUGAGAGGAAAGCCCCCCACACUGGUACUGAGACACGGACCAGACUCCUACGGGAGGCAGCAGUAAGGAAUAUUGGGCAAUGGUCGAAAGACUGACCCAGCCAUGCCGCGUGCAGGAUGAAGGCCCUAUGGGUUGUAAACUGCUUUUAGCCGGGAAUAAACACCCGUUUUAUAACGGGCCCGAAGGUACCGGCUGAAUAAGCAUCGGCUAACUCCGUG